rnacentral:rRNA from 1 species
UCUUUUUGUUAUAUAUUUAAAGUCAUACCUGCCCACUGAUUGUUUAAAUGGCCGCGGUAUUUUGACCGUGCUAAGGUAGCAUAAUCAUUAGUUUUUUUAUUGAAAGCUGGAAUGAAAGGUUGGAUGAAAAAAAAACUGUCUCUUUUUAAAUUUUAUAUAAUUUUAUUUUUUAGUUAAAAAGCUAAGAUAAUUUUAAAAGACGAGAAGACCCUGUAGAGUUUUAUAAGUAUUUUAUUAUUUUAAUUUUUAAUAUAAUAUUUAUUUGGUUGGGGUGAUUUAAAAAUUUAAUAAACUUUUUUUUUCUUUUUAUAUUUAUAAAUAAGUAUUUGAUCUAAUAAUUAUUGAUUAAAAGAAAAAAUUACCUUAGGGAUAACAGCGUAAUUUUAUUGGAGAGUUCAAAUCGAUAAUAAAGAUUGCGACCUCGAUGUUGGAUUAAAA